ensembl:lncRNA
AGUAUGGCUGAAUCCAGUGCAGAGCAGGAGGGAGGGCACUCAGAGGUGAAUAGUGAGAGAGAACUCUCCUACUUCCUUGCCUUGGUUCUGCACUCAUGAAGUCUGGUUAUGAGUGGACAGCACCAAAUAUUAAUUGCUCUUUCAAAGUAUAUAGAACAUCUUGGAAGACAGCCCUCCAAACUGUAAAAGUGUUGGUUUGCAGCUUCCAUCAUAGCUGGAUCUUCUAAAGGCCAUCCUACCAUUUUUAAGUGAGUUUCACUGGCUCACAGGGUACCAUGGGCAGAGGUCCCACAUCCGGCACUUGGGACCUGAAUUCCUCGUGCCGACUGUCAGCAACGGAAACCUCACCUCAAGAGCCGCGCACGACACUGGGACUCAAGAUGGUGGCAGCGGGCCGUGUGCAGACACGCUGCACACACCUCAGUACAAGAUGGUGGCAGCGGGCCGUGUGCAGAGACGCCCUGCACCCUGACCUGGACCUAGGGCAGGAGCAGCACAGCUGCAGCCCCCUCCCCACUAAAGAGAUCCCAACAAAACAGCCCCGCCCACCGCCUACGGGAAGAGCAUUUGCUCUGAGCUCGCACGUCUCCGAUCUUUGAUGAAAGA